ensembl:rRNA 5S_rRNA 5S ribosomal RNA
GCCAGCAGCUAUCACUCUGCUGCUCUCGUCUAAGCAGGGUUGAGCCUAGUCAGUACCUGGAUGGGAGACCUCUUGGGAAAACUAGAUUUCUGCUGGAA